UACGUAGGGUGCAAGCGUUGUCCGGAAUUAUUGGGCGUAAAGAGCUCGUAGGCGGUCUGUCGCGUCGGCUGUGAAAUCCGAGGCUCAACCUCGGGUCUGCAGUCGAUACGGGCAAACUAGAGUAUUGCAGGGAGACUGGAAUUCCUGGUGUAGCGGUGAAAUGCGCAGAUAUCAGGAGGAACACCGGUGGCGAAGGCGGGUCUCUGGGCAGUAACUGACGCUGGAGGAGCGAAAGCGUGGGGAGCGAACAGG
rnacentral:rRNA from 1 species